AGAACGAACGCUGGCGGCAUGCCUAACACAUGCAAGUCGAACGAAGCCUUCGGGCUUAGUGGCGCACGGGUGCGUAACGCGUGGGAACCUGCCUUUAGGUUCGGAAUAACUCUCCGAAAGGGGUGCUAAUGCCGAAUAAUGUCUUCGGACCAAAGAUUUAUCGCCUUUAGAUGGGCCCGCGUUGGAUUAGCUAGUUGG
rnacentral:rRNA from 1 species